rfam:Caenorhabditis remanei strain PB4641 contig261.5, whole genome shotgun sequence.
GCUUACGACCAUAUCACGUUGAAUGCACGCCAUCCCGUCCGAUCUGGCAAGUUAAGCAACGUUGAGUCAGUUAGUACUUGGAUCGGAGACGCUGGGAAUCCUGGAUGUGUAGCUU